rnacentral:hammerhead_ribozyme from 1 species
GCACCGCUUAGGAGUCCCACAAUAGGACGAAACGGUCGUCCAGUGC